CCUACGGGGCGCUGCAGUGGGGGAUAUUGCACAAUGGGGGAAACCCUGAUGCAGCGACGCCGCGUGUGGGAAGACGGUCUUCUGGAUUGUAAACCACUGUCCCCAGGGACGAAAAUGACGGUACCUGGGGAGGAAGCUCCGGCUAACUACGUGCCAGCAGCCGCGGUAAUACGUAGGGAGCAAGCGUUGUCCGGAAUUACUGGGUGUAAAGGGAGCGUAGGCGGGGAUGCAAGUUGGGUGUCAAAACUACCGGCUCAACCGAUAGUCGCACUCAAAACUGCAGCUCUUGAGUGAAGUAGAGGCAGGCGGAAUUCCUAGUGUAGCGGUGAAAUGCGUAGAUAUUAGGCGGAACACCAGUGGCGAAGGCGGCCUGCUGGGCUUUUACUGACGCUGAGGCUCGAAAGUGUGGGGAGCAAACAGGAUUAGAUACCCUGGUAGUC
rnacentral:rRNA from 1 species